rnacentral:rRNA from 1 species
CGGCCCAGACUCCUACGGGAGGCAGCAGUAGGGAAUCUUCCGCAAUGGGCGAAAGCCUGACGGAGCAACGCCGCGUGAGUGAUGAAGUCUUCGGAUCGUAAAACUCUGUUAUAGGGAAGACAUACGUGUAAGUAACUAUGCACGUCUUGACGGUACCUAAUCAGAAAGCCACGGCUAACUCGUGCCAGCAGCCGCGGUAA